rnacentral:lncRNA from 1 species
UGGGGCAGGAUUUGGGGCAGGUUUGGGGUUUUUUGGGGCAGGAUUUAUAGCAGAUUUUAGGGCAGGAUUUUGGGACAGGGUGGGCGUUAUUUGGGGCAGGAUUUGGGGUAGGAUUUUUAACCCAUUUUGGGGUGGGAUUGGGGUUAUUUGGGUGAGGAUUUCUGACAGAUUUUGGGUAGGAUUUGGGCUAUAUGGGGCAGGAUGUGGGGCAGCCCCACAGGCCUGUGGGGAGUUAACUCUUUCCUCCCCGUUCCCCCCCCAGGUGUACGUGCUGUCCCCGCAGGAGGGCGGGCGCCACAAACCCUUCGUGUCCCACUACGCGCCCGUGAUGUUCUCGCACACCUGGGACAUCGCCUGCAGGGUGCUGCUGCCCCCCGGCAAGGAGCUGGUGAUGCCGGGCGAGGACGCCGCCCUGACGCUGUUGCUGCGCCAGCCCAUGGUGCUGGAGCAGGGCCAGCGCUUCACCCUCCGCGACGGCGCCCGCACCAUCGGCACCGGGGUGGUGGCCAAGGUGCUGCCCAUGGGGGAGGGGGACAGGGAGAUCAGCUGGGGCUGACCACGCCCACAGCGCUCUGACCCCGCCCCCACUGUGAGCCCCGCCCCCAAUGCUGAUCCAUUCCCUCCAUUGCUGCCAAUGGGGGAAGAGGACAGGGAGCUCAGCUGGGAAUGACCACGCCCCCACGGUGAGCCCCGCCCCCCACAUGGGAUAUAACCCCACCCCCCAUGGGGUGUGGCCCUGCACCCACCCCCAGGCGUUAGCUCCUCCCCCAGAGGAAUUGGCCCCUUCCACAAAGGACUCAGCCCCUCCCCCUGCAUGGGUUUAACCCCACCCCCACGUGGGUCAGCCCCCAAAAGGGCGGGGUCAGUUCUGGGGGGCGGGGUCAGUUCAGGGGGCGGGGUCAGUUCUGAGCCGUUCCAAAGGGGGGAAUGGGGGGGCAGGAUCUGUCUGUCAAUCACGGUUCAGGGGGUGUGGCCGUGCUGUUGCCCCUCCCCCAAUAAAAACUCCACCUCCGUUGUGGGUUUUUUUUUU